GCCUGCAAGCUGGGAUCCACCCACCUGUCCUCCUGCUCCUGGCUCCUAGUGUUUGUACCAGAUCUUCCCUGGAUUGGAUGGCCAGACUCCCUGUGAAUCUGAUUUCCUCCCAAGCUGGCUACUUUAUUUCUAUCUGUCUUUGCCAUUAGCAGUCAAACCCUCAGCAAGAAAAAGGUGAAACAGCAUGGGCUGAAGAAACUCCUGUGGGGAAACGGCUAACUGGAAAUACUGAGGAGGAAUGUGCAUUUCAAGUCUUAGCCAGGCCAAGGUGUUCUGAGGCUCUCUCAGAUUUAGGGUCUUAUAAACAUAUCAGUGGAUUUUAUGUCGGGCAGAGUCUCUAGAGACCAGGAAGCUCUGUGGCAGUCAGACCAUGUUGGUAAUACAGGAACUUAAAAUUGUGUUCCCUGCUGCCCAUCCUGGCUCAACUCUAUCCAACUUGAUCCCAAAUGGUCAAAAUGCUGUCUCCCACACAGGAGGGGUGUCAGUCUGCAACUAGAGGACCUCAACCUGGUUAUUCAAGAUGUCUUGUGGUAUGGUGGCUCCACCAGGAGGAAUCUGAUCUUCCCAUCCUGGAAAAGCAAACAGCAAGAUGCAUAGCUGACUCCAGAAGAAUUUUGUUCCUGCAUAUAGGAUAGGCAAGAUGACCAGUUAUCACCCUCCUUGUGCUGUUGGUCAGGAUUCUACCAGGUGGCAGAAGCCACCUGUUCUAGGAGAGUCUUCUCUUGGGACAGGUGUGUACAUUAUCAAUGAAAAACUUAUUUUUAGCACCCUGAAUCCAUCAGAAACCACCAAAGUGGCCUUCAUUACCCAUUCUAGCUCAACGUGACUGAAGGGCAGGGAUGGUAGGAAAACCUCUUGCAAAACUGACACAUCUUCCUCCAAAAUUGGAUCUUUACCUGAUUCAACUCUCAUCUCUGGUUGUCAAAUAAAUAUUUAGGUACCUAAAAUCUUGCAUAGUUUUAGCUCUGAGGACCCAGCAAUAAUCAAGACACCCCAUGCCAGCCCUAUGGAUCUCUUAAUUUGUGAGGAGGUUAUCACAAAAUAACCACAGAUUUUGAAAUGAUUGAAAGUGCAAUGACCCUCAUAAUCUCUCCUGACACCUCAGCUUCAGCCCCAGUCUCAGUUUCUGUGGCUAUUUGAAAAAGCUUUGUUUCAAGUCCUUCGUAUCUGAGUCCCUCUGUGUCACCUGCAUCAUAUCCAAAAGGUUGGUCAGUGUAGGGGACACCAACAACCCUGGGACUGUCUCCAUGACAACACAUCAGCACAUCCUGCCCUCAGAGCCCUGGAGGCCCUACCCUAUAUUCUCGUACCACUUAUAAUAAUCAUUCUUGAUAUUCUGUAACUGAUGAUUCAGCAUCUUGAAAUCAUGAGAAAAUUAAUGACCAAUGUUGUUUACA